CAGUCGCCGCGGUAAUACGGAGGGUGCAAGCGUUAAUCGGAAUUACUGGGCGUAAAGCGUGCGCAGGCGGUUAUAUAAGACAGAUGUGAAAUCCCCGGGCUCAACCUGGGACCUGCAUUUGUGACUGUAUAGCUAGAGUACGGUAGAGGGGGAUGGAAUUCCGCGUGUAGCAGUGAAAUGCGUAGAUAUGCGGAGGAACACCGAUGGCGAAGGCAAUCCCCUGGACUUGUACUGACGCUCAUGCACGAAAGCGUGGGGAGCAAACAGGAUUAGAUACCCCCGUAGUCCCUGUCUCUUAUAC
rnacentral:rRNA from 1 species